CCUCUUCUUCUCCUUCUUCAUCUUCCUUUCCUCACCUUCUUCCCCUACCCCCGUAUCACAACCAUCACCCUCCGUAUCACCACCAUCAUCCAUGGCGGCAUCAAUUUUGGUCGUUUUGUCUCCGCUGCAACCGUCUCUGAUCGACGCCGUAUUCAAUGUCGCCCCCAGCAUAAUCGGCUCCGGAAUCAUUUAAAUUCCGGCGAUUCUCAAAGUUCUCGGCGUGCUUCCUUCUUUCGCCUUGAUUCUUAUCAUCGAUGUGCUCGCUGAAGUUUCUGUUGAUUUUCUCAUGCGUUUUACGCAUGCCGGUGUAACCACACGUACUUUGGUGUUAUGAAGGAAGCUUUUGGGUCUGUUGGAGCUUUGUUUAUCGCGGUGAGUUUUGUUUAUUUUUAAUUUUUUUUUUGAAAGAGGUAAUAACUCUUAGUUCUUAUUUUAUAUUUAAUCUUUUUUUUGUAAUCAAGCUACUACAACACAACAUACACAACCAGUUGAUUAAGAAAGUGGUUCAAGCAAAUUAGGGGCAUUUGAUUGCUAGGGCUUUUUUAAAAAAUUGUAUGGGUGAAUGAGAUUCAUUCAAGUCUGUUUUGAGGUUGUUUCAAUAUUUGAAUGCAACACCAACCUGAUAUGUUAUCUCUUUGGUGUAAUG
rnacentral:lncRNA from 1 species